rnacentral:rRNA from 1 species
AUAUAGAUGAGUUUGGUGAUGGCUCUGAAUGAAUGCUGUCCAAAUGCUUGACACAUGCUAAUCGCACGAUUAAUUUAAUGAAUAAUUUUAUUAAUAAGUGGUGUACAGGUGAGUAUAUGAUAUUUUUACUACCUUAAAGUGAGGGAUAAAAUCCCACAUAAUAAUAAAGGCAUAUAAGCCGCUUUAGGAUGAAGAUUAAUAUCGUCGAGAUAGGUAGUAGUAAAGGUUAUGUCUUCACUAGCCUAAAACUCUCGUAACCGUAACUGAGAGGUUGAUCGGUCACAUUGGGUCUGAAAAAAGCCCAAUGCAAAGUUAGUACAGCAGUGGGGAAUUUUGGUCAAUGGCCUAAGGGCUGAACUGGCAAUUUGGGUAAACGAAACAGAAUUGUAACUUACUAAAAUAAAGUUUUAAGUACGUAUUAAUAAUGAUAAUAUGUAUAAAAGUCUUGACCAAUUACGUGCCAGCAGUCGCGGUAAUACGUAGGAGACGAGCAUUAUUCAUAUUAAAUAGGUUUAAAGGGUACCCAAACGGUCAAAAUACCUGAAAUAUAGGAGUACUUGACUAGAGUUAUAUGUAAGAAGACCGUACUUGAGGUGGAGAGAUUAUAUUUUAUGAUACCAAAAGGACUGAUAACGGCGAAGGCUGUCUUUUAUGUAAUAACUGACGUUGAAGGACGAAGGCAUAGAUAACUAACAGGAUUCGUUACCCUAGUAGUCUUUGCAGACAAUGAUGAAUGCCAUUAACUAGAUACUAAUUUUAGUUAUAUAAAUGAAAAUGAAAGCAUUUCACCUCAAGAGUAAUGUGGCAACGCAGGAACUGAAAUCACUAGACCGUUUCUGACACCAGUAGUGAAGUAUGUUAUUUAAUUCGAUGAUCCACGAAAAACCUUACCACAACUUGAAUAUUUAUGGCGCCGCCAUAAAAACAGGAGUUGCACGGCUGUUUUCAGUUAAUGUUGUGAAACUGUGGUUUUUCCAUGAAAUUAACAGAAUCCUUUGCUUUAUUUAUAAAAUGUUUUAUAAAGCAAUCUUUCUUUAUAGUAGUAAAGAUAAGAAGGAAAAAGACAAGUCAUCAUGGCCCUUAUGUUGUGGGCUAUAGACGUGCCACGUAGUCCUUAACAAAGAGAUGCAAAAAUGUGAAUUUUAGCUAAUCUCAAAAAAGAGGAUAUAAAUUAUACAAGGAUUGUAGUCUGAAACUCGACUAUAUGAAUAAGUAAUUACUAGUAAUCGUGAAUCACCAUGUCACGGUGAAUUUUAUCUCGGAUUGGUACUAACCACUCGUCGCAUGCUGAAAGGAGCCCGCGCAAUAAGUUUGCUUUUUUGUUAUAAUCACUUUUAACGGCUAUAAUCUGCCAAAACCAGCUUAUCUAGCUUAAACAGGAUUAAAAUAUUAUAAUAGAAUUCUUCGUAUGCGUGACUCUAAUUAGUGUUAAGUCGAAAUAUGGUUCGUGUAGUGGAAGUUGCACGGGGUAAUAAACUUAA